rnacentral:rRNA from 1 species
CUGUCUUUGUAUUAGAAUUUGAAAUUAACUUUUAAGUGAAAAGGCUUAAAUUUGUUAGGGGGACGAUAAGACCCUAUAAAACUUUUACAUAUUAAGAUCAAGAUUUUUAAUUAUUUGUAAAAUGUUAAUCUAGGUUUAUAGUGUUUUGUUGGGGCGAUAGAGAUAUAAUUUGGAAUUAACUGUUUUUUGGUUUAUAACUAUUGUUUAUUAGGUUUAUAUAUUUUGAUCCAUUUUUAUUGAUUAAAAGAUUAAGUUACUUUAGGGAUAACAGCGUUAUUUUUUUUGAGAGUUCUUAUCGACAGAAUUUAGUUGCGACCUCGAUGUUGAAUUAAGAUUUCCUAUCAAGCGCAGGAGCUUAAGGGGUAGGUCUGUUCGACCUUUAAAAUCUUA